rnacentral:rRNA from 1 species
UGGGGAAUAUUGGACAAUGGGCGCAAGCCUGAUCCAGCAAUGCCGCGUGAGUGAUGAAGGCCUUCGGGUUGUAAAGCUCUUUCGCCUGCGAGGAUGAUGACGGUAGCAGGAGAAGAAGCCCCGGCUAACUUCGUGCCAGCAGCCGCGGUAAUACGAAGGGGGCGAGCGUUGUUCGGAUUUACUGGGCGUAAAGGGCGCGUAGGCGGCGAUGUAAGUCAGGCGUGAAAGCCCCGGGCUCAACCUGGGAGGUGCGCUUGGGACUAGAUUGCUGGAGUUCGGGAGAGGAGCGUGGAAUUCCCAGUGUAGAGGUGAAAUUCGUAGAUAUUGGGAAGAACACCGGUGGCGAAGGCGGCGCUCUGGACCGAUACUGACGCUGAGGCGCGAAAGCGUGGGGAGCAAACAGGAUUAGAUACCCUGGUAGUCCACGCUGUAAACGAUGU